rnacentral:rRNA from 1 species
GACGAACGCUGGCGGCGUGCCUAAUACAUGCAAGUUGAGCGCUGAAGGUUGGUACUUGUACCGACUGGAUGAGCAGCGAACGGGUGAGUAACGCGUGGGGAAUCUGCCUUUGAGCGGGGGACAACAUUUGGAAACGAAUGCUAAUACCGCAUAAAAACUUUAAACACAAGUUUUAAGUUUGAAAGAUGCAAUUGCAUCACUCAAAGAUGAUCCCGCGUUGUAUUAGCUAGUUGGUGAGGUAAAGGCUCACCAAGGCGAUGAUACAUAGCCGACCUGAGAGGGUGAUCGGCCACAUUGGGACUGAGACACGGCUCAAACUCCUACGGGAGGCAGCAGUAGGGAAUCUUCGGCAAUGGACGAAAGUCUGACCGAGCAACGCCGCGUGAGUGAAGAAGGGUUUCGGAUCGUAAAACUCUGUUGGUAGAGAAGAACGUUGGUGAGAGUGGAAAGCUCAUCAAGUGACGGUAACUACCCAGAAAGGGGCGGCUAACUACGUG